AUAUCCUGUGUCAAGAUGUGGCAUUGUGUGGCACAGUUCAUUUCUCCAGGCAACUCCUAAAGCACCAGUAUCAUCAUGCAUAGACAAUGAAGUUCGUACUUAACACAGCAUACUGCCUACAUAAUGUGACCAUGUCAUGUCUAGCAGUUUCAAAUCAAACCAUAGGGCAAGGGGGGUCAUUGAGCGUGUGGUAAUUGGAGCCGGUUUCACUUUUCCCGUAUAUACACGAAGCUUGGUCAUACAUAUGAGAUCAUCACAAUUCUUAUUGCAAGGAGGAAUAAUAUACGUCUUAUUACAGGGAGAAAUAAGUCGUCGUGAAUCAUAGAUGGUGGCGGACGAGCAUAUGUAUUAGUCCUCUUCUCAUGGUAAACAAUUACAAGGAUCACCAGCACAUCCUGGACAGUCGGGGCCGGUCCUUCCUGCAAGAACGGUUUAUGAGUUGCAACACCUUACUAUCACCAUUGUUAACACAACUUCUAGCUACUGCUUUAAGUAGAGCAAGCAUUUAUGAAGCAAAGUACACAAUGGGUCAAGAUAGAGGAAAGGUAUAAUUAAAAUAUGGCAAAAAAAAAUUAAUUAUAUCUCUUCACCAAUUUUUCAUAUAACUACCCAUAAAUUCCAAAUAUUGUUUCAUGGGUUUAUGAAAAGUUGGGGAGUAUUCAUCAAGAAUCAUGUUCGUUGGGAUCCCGACGAGCUUUCUGGCCAGUGUAAUGAUCCAAUCAAUAUGAAUAACAUUUCAAUAAUGCCUGAGAAUGCAAACUUGUAAUAGUAACUCUCAUUCCUUUUCUUUUAUAUAUAAAUUAACACAGUUGUUGCAAGAUGAUGGCUUCAGACUUGUUGAUGUAUUACUUUGUAAGGCCUUGGUGAAUAAUUAAUAAAAUGGAUGCAUGCAUCGUCCUGAUAGAGAGGCCGGGUGUCAUCCUCCUUUUUAAAAAAGCUUGUUACUUCAAUGUAAAUCAGAUUUGAAUUUAGAACACAUAGAGAGAGUAAGGAUGGAAAUAUGUGCCUGUUUCAAUGAUCAAAACCCUUAAGAACGGUCUAACAAUAGUCUAUGUCUCCAGAUAAGAAGCAAACAUUGAACUAGUGCGUGAAGUGAUACUAGUUUAUAAUAAUAAAUUUAUAGUAGGAUCUGCAACACUGAGAGUUCAGAGCACGUACUAUAUGAUUGAAAAGCCAGCACUCCAGACGGCAUCGCAACGAGCAGAAUGAUCUCCAGUAUAACAAGCAGAAGAACCAUGUUCAUCUGGCACCUCCAAGCCAUGAUGUUGCAAUAUCAAGGCUGUGCACUCACCACUCUCUUCUCUUCUCUUGUCACCCUGCUGCUUCUUGGUCUCUCUCUAUAUAUAAAGGAUUUGUUGUGCAGAAAUUUGGAAUAGCCGUAGCCGGUAUGAACGCACGCUUUACUUGAGA
rnacentral:lncRNA from 1 species